rnacentral:rRNA from 1 species
AGUGAACGCUGGCGGUAGGCCUAACACAUGCAAGUCGAACGGCAGCACAGGAGAGCUUGCUCUCUGGGUGGCGAGUGGCGGACGGGUGAGGAAUACAUCGGAAUCUACUUUUUCGUGGGGGAUAACGUAGGGAAACUUACGCUAAUACCGCAUACGACCUACGGGUGAAAGCAGGGGACCUUCGGGCCUUGCGCGAUUGAAUGAGCUGAUGUCGGAUUAGCUAGUUGGCGGGGUAAAGGCCCACCAAGGCGACGAUCCGUAGCUGGUCUGAGAGGAUGAUCAGCCACACUGGAACUGAGACACGGUCCAGACUCCUACGGGAGGCAGAAGUAGGGAAUAUUGGACAAUGGGCGCAAGCCUGAUCCAGCCAUACCGCGUGGGUGAAGAAGGCCUUCGGGUUGUAAAGCCCUUUUGUUGGGAAAGAAAUCCAGCUGGCUAAUACCCGGUUGGGAUGACGGUACCCAAAGAAUAAGCACCGGCUAACUUCGUGCCAGCCGCCGCCGUAA